UAGGGGAGCGCGGGGUACAAAGUAACGCGGGAAUUAUGUUUUUCAGCUGAAGGUCAACUACUGGGGAUUUUAAAAAAGGAGAUAAACAGCAC